CCUUCGAUAGCUCAGUUGGUAGAGCGGUGGACUGUAGACGGUAGUGGUUGAGAAGGCGCUGAUAUCCAUAGGUCGCUGGUUCAAAUCCGGCUCGAAGGA
rnacentral:tRNA from 1 species